UGUAACCAAAAAUAACGGCUGGGCUAACAGUUGGGUUUGUAAUUAAACGUACAUCACCACCACCUGGGGCCCAAGUAUCAUAAACUCCACCAAAAUAUAAUGCUUUCCAAACUAAAAGCCAAGCUCCAAUUCCAAGAAUAACAAGAUGUAUUCCAAGAAUAGUAGUCAUUUUAUUUUUAUCUUUCCA
rnacentral:antisense_RNA from 13 species